AUUGAACGCUGGCGGCAUGCCUUACACAUACAAGUCGAACGGCAGCACGGGAGCAAUCCUGGUGGCGAGUGGCGAACGGGUGAGUAAAGUAUCGGAACGUGCCCGGUCGUGGGGGAUAACGUAGCGAAAGUUACGCUAAUACCGCAUACGAUCUAUGGAUGAAAGCGGGGGAUCGCAAGACCUCGCGCGAUUGGAGCGGCCGAUAUCAGAUUAGGUAGUUGGUGGGGUAAGGGCUCACCAAGCCGACGAUCUGUAGCUGGUCUGAGGGGACGACCAGCCACACUGGGACUGAGACACGGCCCAGACUCCUACGGGAGGCAGCAGUGGGGAAUUUUGGACAAUGGGCGAAAGCCUGAUCCAGCCAUGCCGCGUGCAGGAUGAAGGCCUUCGGGUUGUAAACUGCUUUUGUACGGAACGAAAAGGUUUGGCCUAAUAAGCUGAGCUCAUGACGGUACCGUAAGAAUAAGCACCGGCUAACUACGUGCCAGCCGCCGCAGUAA
rnacentral:rRNA from 1 species